UAUGCGGUCAUGCUUGAUAGUCCAAUGAAAGGAAGGAACAUGUAAAUGUUUGAGUCAUCAGCGGGAUGUGACAAAGAUUAAUUGUGAAUUUAUUUGGGGGGGUUUCAGAGAGAAUGAAAAACUUCACAGGUUACUUCAGAGAAGAGAGAAUGAAACUUCACAGGUUACUUCAGAGAAGAGAGAAUGAAACUUCGCAGGUUACUUCAGAGAAGAGAGAAUGAAACUUCGCAGGUUACUUCAGAGAAGAGAGAAUGAAACUUCGCAGGUUACUUCAGAGAAGAGAGAAUGAAACUUCGCAGGUUACUUCAGAGAAGAGAGAAUGAAACUUCGCAGGUUACUUCAGAGAAGAGAGAAUGAAACUUCGCAGGUUAUUUCCGUCUGCUUUUGAAGGUACAGAUUUUUACGCAAGUAAUGAGGAUUCUUCAUCCCGUGGUUCUGCUCAUUUUGAUCAAGAUACAGCAAGAAAACUAGAAUCCAUCAGCAGUUGCAGAUAAUAAAACAGUGUUGCAUAGAAGACGCCAUUCCUGUGGAUGCAAUCAUGCUUCAUCUUCGGACUCGACACUGAUGGACCUCUCGGCUUCAGUUGCAUCCUCGAUAGGCACCAACUCACAAAGUCUACAGAAAAUGUUUGCUCUAGGAUGAUAGGUUUUCCUCGAUGAUACCCAUGAAGCUUAGCCUGAGGAGCGUAUCUUUAAAAGCAGUGUGCUGAAUGAAAUAUAGUUUAGAUUUUGAGCAUAAUUGGGGAAACAUCCUGUGCCAUCAACUCGUACUUCAAAUUUCUGUCAAAGCAAUGCAAGAAAAGGACAGUCAGCACCAGCGUUUACAUAAAAGGGCAACAUUAAAGAAUUUGUACAGCUUAUAACAUCAACAGAAGUUGGAAGCACGUGACAUUAAAAAGUUGGAAGGCCUAGAAGUUUUAUGUCUUAAACUCAUGCAGAGAAUGAAUAUUUUAGCAAUAUUUUUAUCAAUAUAUAUUUUUAUGAAAAUUUGUUCAUGUUCGAAAUGUUAAUGACGAAUUUUAAAUUCAAAUAAUUAAUCGUUACCUUUUACAAAUUCAUCUGUUAAUUUUUUUUCAAAUUUGCCCAAUUUAUAA